CUUCUUUUUUCAUUUUUUUGUGACCAGCUCGUCCACCAUCUUCGUGCUGUUGUUCUUAAUGAAACGUCCCGUUCAGCGUCUUAACGAAAUGAUCUUACGUACGACCCGUACGACUAAUGAAGCAGGCAGAAGAAGCACCACUGAGCAACAAGUCCGCCGUCGCUAGCAGAGAGGCCGAGAGGCAUCGCACAUGCCUUCUUUCUGCAGGCCGCCGCUGCAACUUCACCCGAUCUCCCCCGAGCUGCCAGAGUAGGCUCGACCGGAAAUAUGGUCUGUGUACUUUUUUGCUUCACUCUCGCUCCGCUUGGGGCGCCACCUGCAACACUUUCGCUGAUGCCGCCGUGGCGAGCGGUUGUUCAAGUUUUCGUCUCUUGCUGAUGUUUGUGGUUGCCCGUUGAGUGUUGUCAUCCGACAAUACACCGGUGAUCUGCUGCUAAAGGGCUUGCGAGUCCGUGGUGGGCGUCGACUGGCAGUGACGCAUUUGUGCGUGCGUGUUUUGAAGUGAAGUGUAGCGGCUUCAAACAGAAGUGUUGUGUGCGAAAGGUCAUCCUCGUUUCCUCGUCGAAUAAUUCGCCUGGCUUUUAACAGCAGGCGGUGGUGGCUGUGUCACCUUCAUGCGGAUACACGUCACGUCAUCGUCACCAGCGUCACACGGUAAACUGGAUGUCUGUCCUAGCCGCGUGCCAUAACUUUGCACACGCUAGGCAGUUACAGUGCGGUCAGAAG